GAUGAAGUUAUAGAGUGUUUGGCGUUUGUUUUGCAGUGUGUCUAAGUGAUUUGGUGGUCAUGAUGGUGCUGAGAACUUCAUCAAGUCAGAGAGAUUCAAGAAGAUGAAUGUUGAGAUUGUUCUCGAUGACGGUGACCAAACUGCAACCAAGGCAAGAGGGGUUUAAUGCACUGCAAAACAAUUGACAGUAUACCAAAAAAAGGGACAGUAAUAAGUGCAUGUAAAUAUUAUUAAAAUUAUGCGGCAACUAUACGAGGGUAGGUGAUACCCAAGGAGUCAUCCAUUAAAAUUUGACUAAU